rnacentral:tRNA from 1 species
GGCGGGGUAGCUCAGAUGGUUAGAGCGCAGGAUUCAUAACCCUGAGGUCACGGGUUCAACUCCCGUCUCCGCUACAA